UAACAAUGAUUUCCCUAGUAACGGCGAGUGAAGAGGAAAGAGCUCAAAGUUGGAACCUGUUUGGCUUAGCUAAACCGGAUUGUAAACUGUAGAAGUGUUUUCCAGACACGCCUGGUAAAAAAGUCCUUUGGAACAGGGCAUCAUAGAGGGUGAGAAUCCCGUCUUUGGCCAGAGCUGUUGUCUUUUGUGAUACAUUUUCAAAGAGUCAGGUUGUUUGGGAAUGCAGCCUAAAUUGGGUGGUAAAUCUCACCUAAAGCUAAAUAUUUGCGAGAGACCGAUAGCGAACAAGUACCGUGAGGGAAAGAUGAAAAGAACUUUGAAAAGAGAGUUAAACAGUAUGUGAAAUUGUUAAAAGGGAACCGUUUGGAGCCAGACUGGCUUGACUGUAAUCAAUCUAGGCUUCGGCCUGGAUGCACUUGCGGUUUAUGCCUGCCAACGACAAUUUUUUUUGAGGGAAAAAACUAUUUGGAAUGUGGCCCCCCUCGGGGGGUGUUAUAGCCUUUUAGAAAAUACCUUGAAUUGGAUUGAGGAACGCAGUGAAUGCCUUUAGGCAAGAUUGCUGGGCGCUUUCGCUAAUAAAUGCUAGAAUUUCUGCUUCGGGUGGUGCUAGUGUUUAAAGGAGAAACUCGCUUGGUAUAUUUUUUAUUCGCUUAGGUUGUUGGCUUAAUGACUCUAAAUGA
rnacentral:rRNA from 1 species